rnacentral:rRNA from 1 species
CCUGCGGAGGGAUCAUUACCGAGUUUACAACUCCCAAACCCCUGUGAACAUACCAAUUGUUGCCUCGGCGGAUCAGCCCGCUCCCGGUAAAACGGGACGGCCCGCCAGAGGACCCCUAAACUCUGUUUCUAUAUGUAACUUCUGAGUAAAACCAUAAAUAAAUCAAAACUUUCAACAACGGAUCUCUUGGUUCUGGCAUCGAUGAAGAACGCAGCAAAAUGCGAUAAGUAAUGUGAAUUGCAGAAUUCAGUGAAUCAUCGAAUCUUUGAACGCACAUUGCGCCCGCCAGUAUUCUGGCGGGCAUGCCUGUUCGAGCGUCAUUUCAACCCUCAAGCCCAGCUUGGUGUUGGGACUCGCGAGUCAAAUCGCGUUCCCCAAAUUGAUUGGCGGUCACGUCGAGCUUCCAUAGCGUAGUAGUAAAACCCUCGUUACUGGUAAUCGUCGCGGCCACGCCGUUAAACCCCAACUUCUGAAUGUGAC